UGGGGAAUUUUGGACAAUGGGCGAAAGCCUGAUCCAGCAAUGCCGCGUGUGUGAAGAAGGCCUUCGGGUUGUAAAGCACUUUUGUCCGGAAAGAAAUCCUUGGCUCUAAUACAGUCGGGGGAUGACGGUACCGGAAGAAUAAGCACCGGCUAACUACGUGCCAGCAGCCGCGGUAAUACGUAGGGUGCAAGCGUUAAUCGGAAUUACUGGGCGUAAAGCGUGCGCAGGCGGUUUGCUAAGACCGAUGUGAAAUCCCCGGGCUCAACCUGGGAACUGCAUUGGUGACUGGCGGGCUAGAGUAUGGCAGAGGGGGGUAGAAUUCCACGUGUAGCAGUGAAAUGCGUAGAGAUGUGGAGGAAUACCGAUGGCGAAGGCAGCCCCUGGGCCAAUACUGACGCUCAUGCACGAAAGCGUGGGGAGCAAACAGGAUUAGAUACCCUGGUAGUCCACGCCCUAAACGAUGUCAACUAGUUGUUGGGGAUUCAUUUCCUUAGUAACGUAGCUAACGCGUGAAGUUGACCGCCUGGGGAGUACGGUCGCAAGAUU
rnacentral:rRNA from 1 species